GGUUGCUGCUGCUGCCAGGUGAAAUCAGCUGCAAUGACGUUCCUGCAGCAAAAACCUCAUUUCAAGCGACAACAAAAGGCUUGUGUGAAUGCCAUCAAAGGGUCCUGGCAGAUGUCUAAUAGAUCAGGUGGGAGGGUGUGGCAUGUGAGGAGGACGUGAGGAAGCAGAGGUCCAGAGGAGGGUUUUGGGGGAAGGAGGUUUCAAAGAACAACAUUUGGCUGUCGCAGGCUUGAGGCUUAAACAAGACUCCAGCGGCUGUGCCCACUGACUCAUUUGAAGCAUUCUACCAAACAGCAAACAGGAGCCAAGAACUUCACGAGGCAGGAAUGUAGAGCUUAAUGCUGUCACUGAGUUUCCAGUGAGCAGAGAGGGUGGUGAUGGUUGGGGAUAUUUUCAUUAGCGAUGGAGGUUAAAGGAAGUGAGGGACCUGGAGAAAAUGGUUCUUGGUUUACAAGGUUCACUUGUUUAUCCAACCAUUUCUCUUGUAUAAUCAUCCAUCUGCUGCAUUAGCCCGUGAUGUGUGAAGC